AUUGAACGCUGGCGGCAUGCCUUACACAUGCAAGUCGAACGGUAACGGGCCUUCGGGUGCCGACGAGUGGCGAACGGGUGAGUAAUACUUCGGAACGUGCCCGAUCGUGGGGGAUAACGAGGCGAAAGCUUUGCUAAUACCGCAUACGAUCUACGGAUGAAAGCAGGGGACCGCAAGGCCUUGCGCGGACGGAGCGGCCGAUGGCAGAUUAGGUAGUUGGUGGGAUAAAAGCUUACCAAGCCGACGAUCUGUAGCUGGUCUGAGAGGAUGAUCAGCCACACUGGGACUGAGACACGGCCCAGACUCCUACGGGAGGCAGCAGUGGGGAAUUUUGGACAAUGGGCGCAAGCCUGAUCCAGCCAUGCCGCGUGCAGGAUGAAGGCCUUCGGGUUGUAAACUGCUUUUGUACGGAACGAAAAGCCUUCUUUUAAUACAGGAGGGUCAUGACGGUACCGUAAGAAUAAGCACCGGCUAACUACGUG
rnacentral:rRNA from 1 species